UUGUAGUUAAAAAGGUCGUAGUUGGAUCUUGGGUCAUAAAGGUCAGUCCGCCUACUCGGUGUGCACCUGCCCUUCCGUCCCUUUUGUCGGCGGCAUGCUCCUGGCCUUAAUUGGCUGGGUCGCGGCUCCAGCGCUGUUACUUUGAAAAAAUUAGAGUGCUCAAAGCAAGCUUAUGCUCUGAAUACAUUAGCAUGGAAUAACGUGAUAGGAGUCUGGUCUUAUUGUGUUGGCCUUCUGGACCGGAGUAAUGAUUAAUAGGGACUGUCGGGGACAUUCGUAUUUCAUUGUAAGAGGUGAAAUUCUUGGAUUUAUGAAAGACGGACCACUGCGAAAGCAUUUUCCAAGGAUGUUUUCAUUAAUCAAGAACGAAAGUUGGGGGCUCGAAGACGAUCAGAUACCGUCCUAGUCUCAACCAUAAACGAUGCCGACCAGGGAUCGGCGGAUGUUGCUCUAAGGACUCCACCAUCGCCUUCUGAGUAAUCAGAGUGUUUGGGUUCCGGAGGGAGUAUGGUCGCAAGGCUGAAACUUAAAGGAAUUGAUGGAAGGGCACCACCAGGAGUGGAGCCUGCGGCUUAAUUUGACUCAACACGGGGAAACUUACCAAGUCCAGACAUAGUAAGGAUUGAGAGCUCUUUCUUGAUUCUAUGGGUGGUGGUGCAUGGUCGUUCUUAGUUGGUGGAGCGAUUUGUCUGGUUAAUUCCGAUAACGAACGAGACCUCAGCCUGCUAACAAGCUACACGGAGGUUCCCCUUCGCGGCCAGCUUCUUAGAGGGACUAUGGCCAUUUAUGCCAUGGAAGUUUGAGGCAAUAACAGGUCUGUGAUGCCCUUAGAUGUUUUGGGCCGCACACGCGCUAAACUAAUGUAGCAAACAAGCUUUUCUUCCUGGUUCGAGAGGAUCGGGAAAUCUUCUCAAAUUGCAUCGUGAUGGGGAUAGACCAUUGCAAUUAUUGGUCUUCAACGAGGAAUUCCUAGUAAGCGCUGUCAUCAACUCGUGUUGACUACGUCCCUACCCUUUGUACACACCGCCCGUCGCUCCUACUGAUUGAAUGAUUUGGUGAGGUGUUCGGAUUGCGUCGACGAUGGUGGUUCGCUGCCAUCGACGUCGUGAGAAGUUCAUUGAAACUUAUCAUUUAGAGGAAGAAGUCGUAACAAGGUUACCGUAGGUGAACUUGCGGUAG
rnacentral:rRNA from 1 species